rfam:Bacillus sp. SA1-12 scf7180000003357, whole genome shotgun sequence.
UGGUGAUGCCUCCUUACCGUUAUCAAUGGAGGCACUCGGUCACGCUGUGGGUGCCUUCGGUACCUUAGAUACUUGUUGUCGGAAGUGGGAUGUGAGGGAGGGUUAGAUGCCCA